rnacentral:misc_RNA from 1 species
UUGAUUCAAUUUUCUGAUUCAGACGUCGGACGGAUUCAGGCGUGGAUGCGGCGCCGGAGCGCCGAAGCACGGGUCGCUUCCACCUGGUUUGUGCGUCGAGGGCGACUGGCGCCGUUCGAUAAUGAUCCCUCCGCAGGUUCACCUACGGAGA